rnacentral:rRNA from 1 species
UUUUUGUGGAGGGUUCGAUUCUGGCUCAGGAUGAACGCUGGCGGCGUGCUUAACACAUGCAAGUCGAACGGGAUCGGCUGGAGCUUGCUCCGGCCGUGAGAGUGGCGAACGGGUGAGUAAUGCGUGACCGACCUGCCCCAUACACCGGAAUAGCUCCUGGAAACGGGUGGUAAUGCCGGAUGCUCCAGUUGGAUGCAUGUCCUUCUGGGAAAGAUUCUAU